GACGGAGGAUGCGAGCGUUAAUCGGAAUUACUGGGCGUAAAGCGUCCGCAGGCGGUUCUAUAAGACAGAUGUGAAAUCCCCGGGCUCAACCUGGGAACUGCAUUUGUGACUGCAUAGCUGGAGUGCGGCAGAGGGGGAUGGAAUUCCGCGUGUAGCAGUGAAAUGCGUAGAUAUGCGGAGGAACACCGAUGGCGAAGGCAAUCCCCUGGGCCUGCACUGACGCUCAUGCACGAAAGCGUGGGGAGCAAACAGG
rnacentral:rRNA from 1 species